rnacentral:tRNA from 1 species
GUGCACUUAGCUCAGCAGUUAGAGAACCCUUCUAGAGUUUGGGGAAAACAGGUCAUGGGUUCAAUUCUUGUAGUGCACA